rnacentral:pre_miRNA from 1 species
AAUAAGUAUAGCCAUGAGUUUUCGCGCUCAACUUUGAUCGUCCAUCUUAUUUGAAUUUUUUUCAUAAUUAGCAUUUUUGUUGUUAUAAGAUGAUAAAACAUAAAUAGUACUUUACUCGUGACUUAUGUUUUAAUUUUUUUUAAAAAAAAUUCAAAUAAGAUGAAUGGUUAAAGUUGAGCGCGGAAAACCAUGGCUGCACUUAUU